GUUCAGGCCAAAUUCUCCAGGUUAACAAGAAAGUUGUGUAAUCUUUAGACGAUCCUGAGGAGUACCCUACCUUGUUCGAGGAUUGCCAGGUUGCUAUGUGGAAUCUCAAAUUUAGACAAGGAGGAAGAAGAAAACGAAGAAGAACAUGAAAGCCAGGAAUAAGAGGUUUCUGAGUUCGUAGCUGAUUGCACAGAGAUAAACAAUAAGUGCCACUACUUACAAGGCUAGAUAUGAAGCAACAAAAAGCUAUACUUAUUUGAGCAUGUAGGUAAUGAAUGAUGUUGAGAUUGUCCCUUGGUCUUG